UACGUAGGGGCCGAGCGUUGUCCGGAGUUAUUGGGCGUAAAGCGCGCGCAGGCGGCCUCGCGCGCCCGACGUGAAAGCCCCCGGCUUAACCGGGGAGGGUCGUUGGGGACGGCGGGGCUUGAGGGCGGGAGAGGGUGGUGGAAUUCCCGGUGUAGUGGUGAAAUGCGUAGAGAUCGGGAGGAACACCCGUGGCGAAGGCGGCCACCUGGGCCGACCCUGACGCUGAGGCGCGAAAGCGUGGGGAGCAAACAGG
rnacentral:rRNA from 1 species